UUCAGCUGACGAUUCAGCGAGGACGAGAGAACGAGGAACCCACGGCCGGCUGGUUCCUAAGGGCAGCAAGAUGGCUGCCACACGGAAUCCUUCUUGGAUGUUCGAUGAUGAGGCGAAACAGCUUCGCCAUCGGCGUCACGUUCCUCCCCUGGUGGUGUCAUUAUUGUCUCGCGGACGGCAGGAGGAUGCCCACGUGGCACCUUCGUAAAAUCUUCCCGAACGAUCGAUUGUCGCUCGUGUAGGUUCGAGAGGAGGGUGUCGCCUCGGGGGACGCUUUGUACUUCUACGAUCUUGAUGCGUAUCGCAAGGUACCUCGAAAUUUCCGCGAUGUGCACCAGCUGCUUCAGCUGAUACCCAACUCGUCGAGUCCGCAACACGUUCACGUCGAACGAGAUAUUAACAGCUUCCAGAUGUUGAACACGUUACGCGGUGAUCAUCAGCAUCUCAGCUGGAGAGAUUGGAAGUAGAAUGUGAAGAGCGUUGUGUUGCCAGGUUUAUCGGGUUUAUCAAGUUUCAUCGGAGGGGAACAAUCCAUCACAAACAGCAACUUUAUAUCUCGAAGCCAGUAAUCCUUCGUAUUUACCAGUAAAGUUCUCUACUUAAGGCAAACAUUCUUUGAACUAUUAAGAUGAUCCUCGUCAGGAAGAUGCGCCGCAUUCCUGGACGUUAGCUCUACGUUGCAACGACGCAAUCUAGCUAUCUCGAGAAUCCAAAAUGUGGGCGACGAAGCACGAAGAAGCACGAGAGCAGCGAAAACUCGCCGCCAAUGUCCGCAGGUACUUAUUAUUACGCAGAGAAUUCUGGUAAAAUUCUCGGGAGGAUCUCUCGAGAAUCCUCAUUCGUGAGUGCACAGCUGGAGGAACCGUCGACCGUCGACGACGCUCGACGAUCGUGGACGCCACUUCAACUCCCGCCUUUUCCAGCGCAGAGGGAAUUGAUAAUAUAUAUAGAAUAUUCUAUCUGUUUCUCUGUCGCCCUCUCCCUAUAGACGUUUCUUGUGCGAUAGAAACAAACUUUCCAUAGAAAAAUACUCUCUCGCUCUGUUUCAGUAUACAUAUAGAUAUACAAAUGUGAUAUAUAUGAUUUGAUGACUCCGAGAUACGGUCUCUAUAAAUCUAUUUAGUAUUCUAACAAUUUAAUAUUUUAAUUUCAAUAAUGUAACAGUAGCGAAGAACUACAAAAUUUUGCAGGAAAGGGUUUUUGUAACGUGCUCCUCGAUGAGAGAGAAGAAAGAUUCAUAGAUUGUUCAUCCGAGAAAUACUCGACGUAAAAAUUAUCGAAGACUGCUGCACGCUAUCGAAGACCCGAUAGGCACCUUGCUCCUUUCAUGUCGGGUCCGCGAAACUAGCGAAGUCUGAACAUCGAGAACGACACUGUGGCUGCUUAGAAUUUCAGAUAACUGGAGGAUACUCCUACGUCGAUGAUGUUCCUCUGUUUUAUGUACGUUCCUUCGAACGAAUUUGCUACCUGCACGAUCAGCCACCUUCUCCUGAUCAGCGAGAACAAUCUUUAUAAAGUAAUUAAGCGAUAUUUGAUAAAGUUCUCAUAGAAUGAUUAUACAGUUUUGAUUUCAUUAGCGAUGAGCUUUAUGCUAGUUAUGGAUAAUCUUGUAGUUUCGAGUUUGUCUUAUAGUUUUAUAUUCUACAGUUCAGUAAGAGCAGCAAGCAGAGUUGGCGAACGUAAUAUUUCUGCGGAAUACGUUGCUCCUGAGGAUGCCGGAUAAUAAAGCGCCAUCGGUCUACCCCCAAUGCGAUACGUAAUCUACACGACGAAGUAUCAACGUCUACGUUUUACAAUCUACGACGCACUAAAACUUGUGACACUCUGUGACAUCCACAACGUUAGUAACUAAUUUUUCUCUAAUAUCUAGGACAUAAUAAUGCUGCCCCGGACAAGUUUAGUUUCCCCCAUAUUACAUUAAAACUUUAACAGCCAAGAGAGACCGUAUUCACUCCCUGAACGUUGAUUCUCGCUCCUCUCGCUCUUCUCCAGCUGAUUUCCCUCCUUCUCCACACAUCGCUAUAAGUGUCCUCUCAGAGCAUCGAUUUUCUCCUCUCUGGCGGAAAAAUGCGUCCGGGACUUCACAGUCACUCGUAUCUUAUCUAAUCUCAAACUUUCCUCCAAAUAUAUUAUUUCGACGUAUAGUUGAUCUUCAUUUCCUUCUCAGGUACACCAUUUCAUCCCUUAUCUGAUCUCCGCCGUCCCCAUUUCUCGAACAUGUUCUUCGCGCGAUAUACUUCCUCACUAAAGUGUCCCUCCUCGCCUUGUCCUUAGAGCGGAUAAGUUGGAAUCAGUCGUCUGCCAAUCGCAACCAGGCUGCCCCCGAGUCUCCGGAAGUCAUUCCGUAGCGGAAAUCAGUUCCGAGGUGAUCGUAAGCGCGAGAACAGGCUCUAGGUAGCCAACGGCGAUAUCGUCAUCAUCGGGGCCAAGCAAAAAUCGAUGAGCGAAGCCCGUCGACAAUUUUCCGCGUGCACGUGCGACCAAACUUUUUUACUUCUCUUCUUCAGCAACCAUCCGCGACUAUCAUAUACAUGUUCGCAAUUAUUCGUGCGCGAUUUCCGCGGAUCAGUGACUUCUCAAUCGAUUCCUGAUUGCGUCGUCUUGUAGAACAACAACCCCUUCGGGGGGGUACGUCCCUCAUCACCAGAGUCCCAAGCGGCAGAUGCACUUCGGCACUUCGUUGAUUACAUUUGCCAACACAGGAAUCUCUUCAGGGACCUCGCCGUUGUCGCUCGCCGACCGAUCUCCCGCGUACUUCCGGUCGCGCUCGGAAGGUGGACCUUCCGGCUGCGUACGCUCCUCUUGGCGGGGCACGACGUACGUUCGUCGCUGAACGUGCGACGGGAUCGGACGCGUUUUUACGCGGAAGCGCGCGCGUCCUCCACUCCGCGUUCACCAGCGGGCGGACGACGUGUCCGGGGAUGUAUCGCAGCUCGGUGACUUCCGGCGCUCGCGCAUCGGCGCAUUGGAACCCGCGCUCUCUCCAGCGCGCCCGGCGGCAAUACGAGCCGCGGUGGAUGAUGAUGAGAGAAAGAGAGAGAGAGGGAAAGGGAGAGGAAUCUGCGUCGUGCAGCGUCGCGCUGCUCCGUCCUCGGUUCUCCGCGAGGCCGCUCGAGUGUCUACUGCGCUAAUACGCGCCCAUCGAUCGACGGGCCCCGUUGCACGCGGGGAUCCACGGCCGCGAGGACGCGAGCUCGCCGAGGACUCUUGCCAUCGCCGCCACUUCCGGUGAAGAGACGCGGGAUCAGCACCGAUCCUGACCUGGCGGCGCUUGAUUCCGCGCGAUCGAGGUGCACUCGGGCAAGGGACUCUUUAUUUCUUUCUUUUGUUUGUUCUUUUUCCUUCCUCCGUUUCUUUGAGCGUGUGCCUCCUUUCCUCCUCCGUCGUUCUUCCUUUCACCCACGACCGGAUGUUACCAAGUUCGCAGCCGCGGACGCGCUUUAUUCCGGACUGCUGCUGGAGAACAGGGAAGAGGAGCUGCUACUGCGAGGGGAAUCAAUACCUCGGUCCUUGUGGUGGUCGAAGGGGAGGACUGCAGGAACGAAGGGGAGGAUGGGCAAGUGGAGGAAACGCUGGCGGCGGGGUGGGAUGCGAAGGCAGGAGGGGCGAGCGGUUAUACUGGGAUAUCGCCGGUGGUUCCUGCGCGGGUGGGGAGCUAACGCUUCGGAAACGAAACGAGCGAAAGGGGUGCUAUGCACCGCCGGCUACGUGGGGUUGCUUAGAGGGAUGACGAAGGGGAAAUGACGCGACGCGCUGCGUGAUCGUCAAUUGGUGGGACGCUGACAGGCAAGUGUUCGGCGAUGAUUGUUACCGCGCGCGCCACCCCCGGGGGCUGAAUAUCCGAUUUGAGAGAACCGCGUUCGGAACGCGACUUGAAAAAUCGGGUCAGCCUCGCCGACUCUUCGAGUGCACUUCAUCCUAAGGCGCCAGUUACUCUUCCGUAGUCGCGUCGUCCUCCGAAUUUAUUUUCGGACGUUGGGGAUGACGCCGGGAAAUCCUCUAGCGUGAGAUGCCCUUCAGAAUCGCUCCUCGCUGCCGUUUGCUCCCAGCUUUUCGAUUUGUUCCACUGAACAAAUCGUUAUCACAUGAUUGCAGAAUUGUUCCAUUGUCUUUAAUCUUCUUAUCUUUGAGCAUCAACUUUUUGUAUUUUGAUGUCACUUCCGAGUAGUGCGACCUGAGCAAGAGGCUGUACGAAGAAGGACCAAAGUCGCGCGAAGAACGUUUGCGCAUGCACCUGUUGGUGAAGGCUGCUGCUCGGCUUGCAAGGGUGCAACGGUGCAAGAGUGCUCGAUUCUUAUUUACUCGUACGUCAAGCGGGGGACACGGCCCGCUAAUCUCGGCGCGACCUAUUAACCCGCAAGCGUGUACACCCUUGGCACACUACGUGUCGCAAAAAAAACCCCGACCUUUAUGAAAAAUAAAUCUGUCAUGUCUCAAAAGCUGCGUGCAAUUUCUCGGAAGAUGUUGAAUCUUAUUUUGCAAAUAACCGAUGUCUAAAAUAAUACGUUCGGAAAAAUUUUGUUGCUUUAAUUACUGCGAAAGCGCGAGGCUUCGAGUUGAAUCGCUUUCUUUGUAAACGUAUCGAUAUUUUCAGGCAAGAGCGUUUUCCAAAAUUCCGCACGUAAAACGCGUGAUGACGGGAAAUGUGAAAUCGCGAUUCAUGUCUAUAAAUGAAAAUCGCGAACGCAGACUGUUUGACGAUUGAUCGACCGUAAAGCACGGUAACAAAAGCCAACAUUUGCAUAAACGCGUACUAACAGAAUCUCCGCCGCUCUGCGGUUGAUUCGCGUAAUGGGUAUCCCCGCGUGACGUGUAUGUGUACGUGUACGUUCGCGCGAUCGGGAAUGUAUGUUGCGCGUAUGCGCGGGUAUGCGGCAGAAUGCAUUCAGAGAUCCGGCGCAUAUAGGGGUGUGUAUAUAUAUAUAUAAAAUAUAUGUAUUAUAUAUAUCACAGUAUAUACGCGAAUCGCCACCCAUAUCGUCCCACACCGAUCUCUACAUGCAUCUACAGUGUAUGCGUCCAUACACCCACACGUUCACUAUUUGCGAUGCAAAACAACAAGCCCCGCGACGGGGUGCUUAGCAAGGGGUUGAGUGGCGACGGAUUCGAGCGGUUCGCGAGCGUAGGACCUCGCAAGGGUCAGUGGGUUAUCAUUAUCGAUGUCUAUUGCUCGCGUAAGCGCCCUUUCGUUACGCGGAUCGCGCGCAUGCACUCGUGGAAAAUCCGAGUUUCCGCCUCGCCGAUUCGUCCUCCGAUGCGUUGCGGACAGGGAUGAGGGAGGAAACAGAAGUUCGCGCAAGGGGUCGGAAACGACGUCGUUUUCUUUCGCCACCGAGACUUUUAUCCCCGAGCGGAAAGUCGCGACGUGCACGCGUACGCGUUUCCGUUUCCUUAAUACACGCUGACCUCUUUCGCACGAUAGGCGUGGCCGAUGCGAGGGGGUGAUUUGCGGAACCGGGUUACGAUUACCCGGGGUGGUCCAAACGUUACGCAAUAUCGCGCAACUAUCAGAAACGAGAAUUAUUUCUGACGCAUUAAGCGCGAAUAAUCGCGCGCGCGGAACCGACGCCGCGUGUACUUAAUGUUACCCGCCGCUACGGAAAUUGUAAUUACUGAAUUUAUGUAAGAGGAAGAUCAGGGUGACGCACAUUAAGCUUCACUCUUGUAAUGAGAGGAUAAACAGAGUAAACGAGUUUUCUUGCGAUU
rnacentral:lncRNA from 1 species